UCGGGAAUAUUGCGCAAUGGAGGAAACUCUGACGCAGUGACGCCGCGUAUAGGAAGAAGGUUUUCGGAUUGUAAACUAUUUUAGUCAGGGAAGAAAAAAGACGGUACCUGAAGAAUAAGCUCCGGCUAACUACGUGCCAGCAGCCGCGGUAAUACGUAGGGAGCAAGCGUUAUCCGGAAUUAUUGGGUGUAAAGGGUGCGUAGACGGGAAUACAAGUUAGUUGUGAAAGCCCUCGGCUUAACUGAGGAACUGCAACUAAAACUAUAUUUCUUGAGUGCAGGAGAGGAAAGCGGAAUUCCUAGUGUAGCGGUGAAAUGCGUAGAUAUUAGGAGGAACACCAGUGGCGAAGGCGGCUUUCUGGACUGUAACUGACGUUGAGGCACGAAAGUGUGGGGAGCAAACAGG
rnacentral:rRNA from 1 species